AUGCCAUCAUCAUCAUCAUCAUCAUCAUCAUCAUCAUCAUCAUCAUCAUCAUCCUCAUCCUCAGAGAGAGACAUUUCCUCUUCACCACCCAUACCCAUUAUCUGCUGUCGGAUAAAGUCUUCAUCCUCUGCAGAUGAUUCAGCACUUUCCGUUUUAAUAUCCUCACUGCUUGACGAAAUGGAGGUAAUCUUAAGCCUUCUCCUCUGGACUCGAGGUGAAGGGGAAGGUGAAAACUCACUUGCACUGCUCUCCUCCAUUGGUUGGAAACUAAGGCGUCUCCUCUCUUUAACUGCCUCAUUUAUUUGCAGAGAUGAAUCGUUGAUUGCAUCUUCAACAGGAAUAUCGACUAUUUCCCUCACAUCUGUAACUAGUUGUGACUGGUCUGUUUUUCUGUUUGCAUCACUUGUCUUUAACUCUGGCUCUGAAGUCAGGAUAACAUUUUCCUGUCCAGCAGAGAGAGAAGCUUUUCUCACUUGAAUGGGCUCUUCUGUGGACUCAUCCUGGUUUUAAAGGAGAUUAUAGAAGAAAAAAAAAGGGAGGUUUGUAACCAGAAACAUAAAAUAUUCACUUCAUGCAUAGUUACAUUUGAUAUCAAUAUUCAUAGGAACAUGCUGGUUUAAUUUGACAUAAUUUGCGCUUUCCCCUGUCCCCCUAUAAUUUGAAGAUAGUUGUAUACGAUGUACCCACUAUUCAUUUUCAAAAAAUAUUGCACAUAUUUAAAUAUGGCGAGAGGGAGAGAGGGAGAGAUAGAGAGAGAGUAUAGAAUAUAGAGAGUAUAGAAUAUAGAUUCUUAUUUUUGUUAAACGGUGAUAUACUUACAUUACAAAUGGUUGUAUCUGAGGCCGCUGAUUGGUGCUCUGUAAUGAUUUUGUUCUUUUCAGCCACUUCCUUGCCAUUCAAUGUGACGAUGUCCGGCAGAUCAAGCGGCCUUUGACCCAUUGCUGGCUGCAUUUGAUCUUGCUCCUGUUGGACCUCGACUUGCUGCCCUAAAGGUUUUGUCGCUUCUGCGAUCAAU
rnacentral:lncRNA from 1 species